UACGGAGGGUGCAAGCGUUAUCCGGAUUCACUGGGUUUAAAGGGUGCGUAGGAGGGCAGGUAAGUCAGUGGUGAAAUCCUAGAGCUUAACUCUAGAACUGCCGUUGAUACUAUCUGUCUUGAAUAUUGUGGAGGUGAGCGGAAUAUGUCAUGUAGCGGUGAAAUGCUUAGAUAUGACAUAGAACACCAAUUGCGAAGGCAGCUCGCUACACAUAUAUUGACUCUGAGGCACGAAAGCGUGGGGAUCAAACAGG
rnacentral:rRNA from 2 species